GUAGAGUGCGCGAGAUGGAUAGGCACAUAUGUAAGGACUUAGUGGGCAGUAGCAGAGAAUCAUGUGAGUGGAGAACUUGCGAAUGAAAUUAGGUCGAAUCGUUUGUCGGUCAUCCUGCAAAAUUCCUCCUCAGUCAGCACCUCGAGACACGCGGACUCACCCAGGCAUCCUCUGCUGCUCAAUAGUUUCAUUGCAUUACUAAUCGCCCUUUUGCGUGUAUGUGAAAUUCAAGAACUUCUAUAAAUACGUUGAAAGUAAGGAACACAUCACGAAACUGCUGUUCACGUGCAGUACAAGUACAGACCAGUCAUGUAGGUGUAACCUUCCUGUCCUACAAGAGUGGAAGGCCACCGAUACUGCCUUCCUUUGCAUGUACAUCUUAACAAAACCAAUUUACAUGUGAACUCUUGCUACACAAGACCAUGGAUACUUCAAACCACAAAAAGAGGAUACACCAAACAUGACUGGUGUUACAUCAUUACACGGAAACCAAAGGGCAUACCAUAUUAAAAAGACCUUGAUAUGUGGCAGUCCACUUCCUGAUUUUUCAAAGACAAGGAAAUAAAAGGCAUCAUAAUCCAAGAAGUUAAAUUCUGAAAUGAAGUACUAGCACACUGAGGGACAAUGUCAUCCCAUCCAGCACUUAUUAUCUAUCAACAAUGAUCCAUAUGAAUCAAAAUUACUUUCACCUUACCUUCCAUUUGAAUCCAGGACAUAAAACACGCAAGGUCUUGCUGGAGACCACUGCACAUCAACAAUUGGUGAAAAGUCUUGUGCAGACUGCCAAGAGGUCAAGGGAUGAUCAAUCUCAUUGCUGUGAAGCCGCACAACUCCAUCCCCACUUCCAACUAGCAGGUAACGAUUGUCAUGGGGACACACAGCCAGACACGUGGCUUCACAUCCUGGCUCUGUAAUACACCAUUCUCAAUAAAGUGAAAGAUUAAUUCCAUCCUUAUGACCAU